rnacentral:tRNA from 1 species
GUUUUAAUAGUUUAAUAAAAACAUUGGUCUUGUAUACCAAAAAUAAAAUUAUAUUUUUUAAAACU